GUGGGGAAUCUUGCGCAAUGGGCGAAAGCCUGACGCAGCCAUGCCGCGUGAAUGAUGAAGGUCUUAGGAUUGUAAAAUUCUUUCACCGGGGACGAUAAUGACGGUACCCGGAGAAGAAGCCCCGGCUAACUUCGUGCCAGCAGCCGCGGUAAUACGAAGGGGGCUAGCGUUGCUCGGAAUUACUGGGCGUAAAGGGCGCGUAGGCGGAUCGUUAAGUCAGGGGUGAAAUCCCAGAGCUCAACUCUGGAACUGCCCUUGAUACUGGCGAUCUUGAGUGUGAGAGAGGUAUGUGGAACUCCGGGUGUAGAGGUGAAAUUCGUAGAUAUUCGGAAGAACACCAGUGGCGAAGGCGACAUACUGGCUCAUUACUGACGCUGAGGCGCGAAAGCGUGGGGAGCAAACAGGAUUAGAUACCCCGGUAGUCC
rnacentral:rRNA from 1 species